rnacentral:rRNA from 1 species
UACGGGGGGGGCAAGCGUUGUUCGGAAUUACUGGGCGUAAAGGGCUCGUAGGUGGCCAACUAAGUCAUACGUGAAAUCCCUCAGCUUAACUGGGGAACUGCGCCUGAUACUGGUUGGCUUGAGUUUGGGAGAGGGACGCGGAAUUCCAGGUGUAGCGGUGAAAUGCGUAGAUAUCUGGAGGAACACCGGUGGCGAAGGCGGCGUCCUGGACCAAUACUGACACUGAGGAGCGAAAGCGUGGGGAGCGAACAGG